rnacentral:rRNA from 1 species
GAUGAACGCUGGCGGCGUGCCUAAUACAUGCAAGUCGAGCGGACGGACGCGGCGCUUGCUUUUCUGAUGUUAGCGGCGGGCGGGAGAGUAACACGUGUAUACCCUCCCUAUAAGACUGGGAUCACUUCGGGAAACCGGAGCUAAUACCGGAUAAUAUUUUGAACCGCAUGGUUCAAAAGUGAGAGACGGUCUUGCUGUCACUUAUAGAUGGAUCCGCGCUGGAUUAGCUAGUUGGGAAGGUAACGGCUUACCAAGGCAACGAUGCAUAGCCGACCUGAGAGGGUGAUCGGCCACACUGGAACUGAGACACGGUCCAGACGCCUAAGGGAGGCAGCAGUAGGGAACCUUCGGCAAUGGGCGAAAGCCUGACGGAGCAACGCCGCGUGAGUGAUGAAGGUCUUCGGAUCGUAAAACUCUGUUAUUAGGGAAGAACAGAUGUGGAAGGAACUGUGGAGAGCUUGACGGUACCGAAUCAGAAAGCCACGGCUAACUACGUG